UUCCUCUCUCUCGACCAAAAACUCCCCGCACUUCACUCUCUUGUAACGAAGUUUCUUAUGGAACCAAACAAUCAUUAAUGAAAACCUUAGCUCUCUUUUACCCGUGGACGUAGACGUUCCGUCGAAUCACGUAUAUUGUUGUGUUGAUUUCUAUUUCAUUUUACUGCACUUAGUCUAUUUCAUGAUUUGAGUUUGUAUCUUGUUUUUAGUUAUUACUUCAUCAUAUGAUUCAAUUGAUUGUGAUACUGGAUGAAUGAUAUUCACAAUUUGGCGUUAGAGAAACGGGGAUGGAUCUCUCGUUAGAAAAGCUUUGCCGGAGCAAGCUAAUCAGUACCAGCGGAGACUCCGCUUCAACUAGAGCAAACUAAAGCCGCUGCUGACUCACUGGUGUUGCUGCCUCCAUAUGAGGACAAUCAGGUACAGACUAGCUCAGUUCAAGAUGCCGACCAAAGGAGGAGCGAUGUUAAUCCCACUAACCCAACAACGAUGAUAUGAAGUCUGAUACGGAAGAUUCCGGUGACCCAAAGAACAAAGCACCCCGAAGUACAAGUGCAUCGAUGACUAUGGACUUAUCCUGAUACAGACAAAGCAAAGUCAAACGAUGAUGCAAGGUUACACGCAUAUGAAUCAAAGUCGGACGCUGACGAUGAUGGUGCAAAGUACGAUCACAAAGAUGAGAUUCCAACAACGAUGCUGAAGGUGCUUGAACUACAGUCGAUGCGAAGUCCGAUGAUGCUACAAUGACGAUAGCUUUGGACCAAUCCAAAGUCACAGCUGGACCGAUGAUGCAGGCAAGCUCCAUUCCAACGUACAAAGUGAUGCUGAUAAUCGAAGUGAGCCCGACGAGCCAAAGUCCGAAGAGGAUGGACCAAAGCCCGAUGGUUCAUAUUCUGGUAACAAUGAUGCAGAACACCUCAAUUCCGAUGAUUGCUCCUCAUCUCCCACGUUGCAGACCAACCAAAGUUCGAUGAAGACGAUGCAAAGUCAUGCAACAAUGAGCUAAAGUGCCGAUGGUGCAAAGUCCUUUGACGAUCAUGAGAAAUUCGAUCCGACGUUGUUUCUGUGAUGAUGCUGUUUCAUGCAACAAUGAGCUAAACUUCGGUUCCAUCAUCCGAUGAUGUUGUUCCAACAAUACUCAAGUAACCAACGUGCUAGAAGAUGAUGUGCCAAAGUCCGAUGAUCCAGUUGCAUACUCUGGUGCCGAUGAUCCAAGAUUCCAAGCAAACCGAAGUACGAACUCAUCAAAAAUCCGCAGUUUGCAGUACAAGCAAAGUAUACAAGCUGAGGAGAUUUUGCGGUCGGAUUGGUUUUCUACCUUGCACGCAGAUCAACAAGGGACAGACAUAUAAAGCUUGUUGCCAAGGAGAUGUACAGCUACGCCGCCAUGAAGUCAAGACAUUGUUGCCCCUGCUGCUAACGUCAAUGUGAAAGCUGACGAUGGUAGACUAUCUCAUACUUUAAGGAAGGAGGGCAACAAUUCCAUUUUAAGAUUGCACCUACAGCAAAACAAAAGAGCAACGAUGAUACACCAUGCAGUCCCGAUCAUGCAGUGACGAUCCUUCAGUCCAGAUCAUGCAGCCACGAUCAUAAAAACUAAUGAAGCAACCCUAUCAUGGCGAGAGAAAGCUGACCAAGUUCUGGAUAGGGGAAAUGAGCCUCCUACAACACCUAAUACUAGUUAUGGCGGAACUAAAAAUCCGCAGUAUCACCAAAGUCUCAUUGUCUAUGAAAGACAAGUCUAAUAUAUCGCUACGAUGAUAAUUAGGCGGUUGUUUUGAUAAUGUAUUUUCACAUGAUUAAUGAUAAUGGUCUCUUCAGCAUCCCAA